AGCGACAACAAACUCGAAUCCAUAGACAACGGUGUAUUUGAAGGAAUGCCGGAUCUAAAUGAACUGUAUCUGGAAGGCAACCAAUUACGCAACAUUUCCCGGGCGGCGUUUCGGGGCUUGGCAAAACUACGCAGUCUGGGUUUAGGCGAGAUCAAACUCGAAUCCAUAG